UACGAAGGGGGCUAGCGUUGCUCGGAAUCACUGGGCGUAAAGGGCGCGUAGGCGGCCUUCUAAGUCAGACGGGAAAUCCCCAGGCUUAACUUGGGAACUGCGUCUGAUACUGGGAGGCUUGAGUGCGGGAGAGGGAUGUGGAAUUCCAGGUGUAGCGGUGAAAUGCGUAGAUAUCUGGAGGAACACCGGUGGCGAAGGCGGCAUCCUGGACCGACACUGACGCUGAGGCGCGAAAGCUAGGGGAGCAAACGGG
rnacentral:rRNA from 1 species